AGUUGCUCCUUGGAAGUGGUGGCGGUGGACGUGGUGGAGAACGUGGUGGGAGUGGACUAUGUGGAUGAGAGACGCUUGGUGGGGUGAUCCAGGCCGCCAAAUGUGAGCAGCAGCUUCGGCAAUAGUGGUAACCUAUGCACACAGACCCGCGCAGCCUUGCCACACCACCAACAGCAAUACUAACGACAGCAAAGAUAGGAUGGAAGGUACACGGACCCACACAGCCUUACAAAAACCAAUACCAGCAAGAAUAACAACCCCGAUAACAAGAUCAGGAAAGAACACUGUCAAGCGCAGCAAUAAGAAAACGUCUACAUUAUCAAAAGGUUGCUGGAGGUGACGAACGCGGGGCUCCCCAAAUGUUCCUCGUGCAGGUGUGUUACUAGCCCCAUCAAGCCCAGGUGACCCGGAACGCUGCGGCGACCCUCACAAAAGGUUCGAGGAAGAGGAGGAGAGAGAGGGGCAGGGUGUGGCGUGACGGUGUGGGGCAGAGGAGGUGCAUGCGUGGAGGCGGGGCGGAUCGAGGGAAAGGAUAAAACUCAUCAUGUGCCUGGUCAGCGGUGGAUUGACGGGUGUUUCUAUCUUUUCCUCCUUCCUUACUCCAUUCUUUAUACCUUCCUCGCCUCGUAUCUCCCUCCUUAUCUGCCUCUUUUAUGUCCUUCACUUUUUAUUCUUGUCAUUAAUCCCCUGCAUCUACUCUCCCCUAUAUUUUUCCUCUUCCCUUUUAUCUCCCUUUCCCCCAUCUAAUUCUUGCUUUCAACACAUUACGCCUUGCCUCACUCCCUAUAAGCAUGUUUUUUUCCCCACUACACCUGCUCCUCUGUACUUCAUUUUCCUUUACGUGGCUUAUCCUUCUUUUCUCCCCUUUAUCCAGGCUCACUUCUCCCUAGCUUCACUUCCUGCUCACUCGCUUAUUCUGAUCUUCACUUUAUCAUCCUUAAUUUACCGCCCCCAAUGCGCUGCUGCCUGGCAUCGCUGGACUACCUAUCCCUCGCACCGCUGGCUCGAGUAAUUGAAAGACCACCGGUAAACUACGGAGGCCAGCUGCUCAUCCAGAGACGAGUUAGGAGUCAACAAGCUCGGACCGCCACCUACUGCUUGUCUCACCUCAUCACAUCCAUGAUUUGCGGUGUUCGUCCUGCCAGCUGUUUCGACCCUCCAGGAGGAAGUCCCAAUCAGUUGUCGGACACACACCAGGACCCCCUGUUGUGGAUAAAAAUGAAUUUAUGUACUU